CCUUCCCCACAAGCCCCCUUACGGCCCUCUGUGCCCGAUAUACUGGCCAAAUACUCCCACUCUAACUCGCGUUCUGCUCACAGUGACACCCCCUCAGACAGAGCGCUCACACACCACACUGCCAGCACUAACAGUGAGGAUUCUGUCUCAGAGCCAAACCUCCCCUCCUGUUCCGUCUCCUCCCAGUCCCGUGGAGAGGGUGGAGCAGCCUGGUUAGGGGCCUCAGAUUCAGUGAAACAGAAGAGACAAAGAAAGGAGUGAACGGACGUCAGAGUUCGGGUGCAGCCAGAGAGAGCGGGAGAGAACCAUGUCCUCCUGACUCUGGGAGAAAAGAUAAGCACAACAUCUCUGACUGACUCAAGAAUGGAUGGAUAAUAGGAAUAAGAAAGGUCCAUUUCCACUGUUCCUGAAAAACAGCCAUU